rnacentral:rRNA from 1 species
UUUGAUGGUAGUGUAUUGGACUACCAUGGCAGUCACGGGUAACGGAGAAUUAGGGUUCGAUUCCGGAGAGGGAGCCUGAGAAACGGCUACCACAUCUACGGAAGGCAGCAGGCGCGAAAAUUGCCCAAUCCUGAUUCAGGGAGGCAGUGACAAGAAAUAACUACCCCAGGAUUUCUUGGGAGUGUAAUGAGGAUAAUUUACAAACCUUACCGAAAGCAAUUGGAGGGCAAGUCUGGUGCCAGCAGCCGCGGUAAUUCCAGCUCCAAAAGCGUAUAUUAAAGUUGUUGCAGUUAAAAAGCUCGUAGUUGAAACUCUGAUUGUAAGGUUGCUGCGCUUUCGAGCCGGCAAGCCUUCAGUCAUCCGCUUGUGAACUUAUGCUCGCCAUUCACUUGGCGACUAAGUGAGCAAGCAUUUUACCUUGAGAAAAACAGAGUGUUCCAGGCAGGUUUGUCCGGGAUGCAUUAGCAUGGAAUAAUAGAAUAUGACUGGAGUCUAUUUAUUGGUUUAAGACCUCAGUAAUGAUUAAUAGGAACAGUCGGGGGCAUUGGUACUUGACAGUCAGAGGUGAAAUUCUUCGAUUUGUCAAAGACUAACUAAUGCGAAAGCAUUUGCCAAGGAUGUUUUCAUUAAUCAAAAACGAAAGUUAGGGGAUCAAAGACGAUCAGAUACCGU